GUCAUCUAUGCCCUCUAACCGCCAUUAUCCCCCCUUCCCCAUCAUCCGCUUUCCCUUUAAACAGCUUUCCUCCCCUGUCACCGCCGUCUUCCCGCCCACCAAAGCCGGAACAAGCCUUCGCCCAGCAGCUCCUGGACGGCCCCGCGCCGAGCUGAGCUGAGCUGAGCCGAGCCCCGCUAAGCUUCACAGCCGCGCAUCUGUCGAAGAUAAAGCCGCGCUUCAGCCGCCGCCGCUGCCGCCACCUUCUCCUUCUUCCUCCCCGGCCGCCGCCAUCGCCCCCUCACACCGAGGGGCACCGCUGAUUGGCCGCCGGUCGCUAGGCGGGAAGGCGUCCCCUCAGCUGCGCGCUGUAGCUAAGGGAGAGGCGGCCAGGGAUUGAAGGACGCUGCUGUCCCACCGCCUCCAUGUCCCGCCCUCGCUGUGAGGCGAGCAGCGCAGUGAUUGGCUGGGAGGCGGGAGCGGGCGAGGUUAUAAAAGGGGCGGUGCAGGGCGGGAGGUAUUUUCCCGGCGGCGGCGUCAGGGGUGGACUCAGGGGCGGAAGGAGCAGAAGCAGCAGCGGCGGCGGGCGAGCUUUAUGCCUGUUUUAUUUCACUGCAAUCCAGUUUAAUGGAGCUGGAGCGACUGCACCGGGCCCGGCCCACGCCCCAGGAUGGACCUGAGACCCACAGCCACCCCCACACUGUUCCUUGGCGAUCCUGUGACACCCCAUAGAUAUGCCACAGACACACACCCCCCCAGCCCCGUAGUGCCCUAUAGGCCCACAACACGUGUCCCCCAGCUUUUAUUGACUCCUGGCGUCAUGAUGUCACCAGGACCGCGAUGACAUCGUCAGCAUCAUCAAUGACACAGUGCCCCAUAGGGCCCCCACUACCCCCCGCAACCCCUUUAUGCCUGUUUUAUUUCACUGCAGUCCAGUUUAAUGGAGCUGGAGCGACUGCACGGGGCCUGGCCCACGCCCCAGGAUGGACCUGAGCCCCCCGCGAAGCUUUAUGCUUGUUUUAUUUCACUGCAAUCCAGUUUAAUGGAGCUGGAGCGACUGCACCGGGCCCGGCCCACGCCCCAGGAUGGACCUGAGCCCCCUGAGAAGGGGAGACCCACAGCCACCCUCAGACUGCCCCAUGGCUACCGAGUGACACCCUUAGAUAACCCACAGCGCCCCAUAGACACCCCCCUUCUGCUCAUCCCCAUAGUGCCUUGUAGACCCACAACAUGUGUUCCCCAGCUUUUAUUGACUCCUGGCAUCCUGAUGUCACCACGACCUUGAUGACAUCAUCAGCAUCAUCAAUUACCCAGUGCCCUUUAGGGCCCCCACUACCCAUCUGCAACCCAUAAAUUGUAAUUUACUUCAUAAUUUUGUCUGUUUUA
rnacentral:lncRNA from 1 species